CACAUAGGGGGGAGGCUACACAUGCAGUCGAGCGGUAGCACAGAGAGCUUGCUCUCGGGUGACGAGCGGCGGACGGGUGAGUAAUGUCUGGGAAACUGCCUGAUGGAGGGGGAUAACUACUGGAAACGGUAGCUAAUACCGCAUAACGUCGCAAGACCAAAGUGGGGGACCUUCGGGCCUCAUGCCAUCAGAUGUGCCCAGAUGGGAUUAGCUAGUAGGUGGGGUAACGGCUCACCUAGGCGACGAUCCCUAGCUGGUCUGAGAGGAUGACCAGCCACACUGGAACUGAGACACGGUCCAGACUCCUACGGGAGGCAGCAGUGGGGAAUAUUGCACAAUGGGCGCAAGCCUGAUGCAGCCAUGCCGCGUGUGUGAAGAAGGCCUUCGGGUUGUAAAGCACUUUCAGCGGGGAGGAAGGCGGUGAGGUUAAUAACCUCGUCGAUUGACGUUACCCGCAGAAGAAGCACCGGCUAACUCCGUGCCAGCAGCCGCGGUAAUACGGAGGGUGCAAGCGUUAAUCGGAAUUACUGGGCGUAAAGCGCACGCAGGCGGUCUGUCAAGUCGGAUGUGAAAUCCCCGGGCUCAACCUGGGAACUGCAUUCGAAACUGGCAGGCUAGAGUCUUGUAGAGGGGGGUAGAAUUCCAGGUGUAGCGGUGAAAUGCGUAGAGAUCUGGAGGAAUACCGGUGGCGAAGGCGGCCCCCUGGACAAAGACUGACGCUCAGGUGCGAAAGCGUGGGGAGCAAACAGGAUUAGAUACCCUGGUAGUCCACGCCGUAAACGAUGUCGAUUUGGAGGUUGUGCCCUUGAGGCGUGGCUUCCGGAGCUAACGCGUUAAAUCGACCGCCUGGGGAGUACGGGCCGCAAGGUUAAAACUCAAAUGAAUUGACGGGGGCCCGCACAAGCGGUGGAGCAUGUGG
rnacentral:rRNA from 1 species